rnacentral:rRNA from 1 species
CCUACGGGAGGCAGCAGUGAGGAAUAUUGGUCAAUGGACGAGAGUCUGAACCAGCCAAGUAGCGUGAAGGAUGACUGCCCUAUGGGUUGUAAACUUCUUUUAUAUGGGAAUAAAACGUUCCACGUGUGGGAUUUUGUAUGUACUAUAUGAAUAAGGAUCGGCUAACUCCGUGCCAGCAGCCGCGGUAAUACGGAGGAUCCGAGCGUUAUCCGGAUUUAUUGGGUGUAAAGGGAGCGUAGGUGGAUUGUUAAGUCAGUUGUGAAAGUUUGCGGCUCAACCGUAAAAUUGCAGUUGAAACUGGCAGUCUUGAGUACAGUAGAGGUGGGCGGAAUUCGUGGUGUAGCGGUGAAAUGCUUAGAUAUCACGAAGAACUCCGAUUGCGAAGGCAGUUCACUGGACUGCAACUGACACUGAGGCUCGAAAGUGUGGGUAUCAAACAGGAUUAGAUACCCCAGUAGUC